rnacentral:rRNA from 1 species
GGAUGAUCAGUCACCCUGGAACUGAGACGCGGUCCAGACUCCUACGGGAGGCAGCAGUGGGGAAUAUUGGACAAUGGGCGAAAGCGUGAUCCAGCCAUGCCGCGUGUGUGAAGAAGGUCUUCGGAUUGUAAAGCACUUUAA